rnacentral:rRNA from 1 species
CACGUAGGGUGCGAGCGUUGUCCGGAAUUAUUGGGCGUAAAGGGCUCGUAGGCGGUUUGUCGCGUCGGGAGUGAAAACACCGGGCUUAACUCGGUGCUUGCUUUCGAUACGGGCAGACUGGAGUACUGCAGGGGAGACUGGAAUUCCUGGUGUAGCGGUGGAAUGCGCAGAUAUCAGGAAGAACACCGGUGGCGAAGGCGGCUCUCUGGGCCUUACCUGACGCUGAGGAGCGAAAGCGUGGGUAGCGAACAGG